rnacentral:lncRNA from 1 species
CAACUGGACCGGUACUAAAGGACCCCCUCUAGUACCGAAUUGCCAGUACCGGUUGCGAAACUGAUACUAGAGAAACCGAUACUACAGGGGGAUUUUCAACCGGUACUAAAGCCGUUUUCUCUAGUAGUGCACUUCUUCUGUGAAUCUUAUACCAUACUACUUUGAGGAGACCUUCACACCAACACUAAUACGGGAGACCAACUCUUUAUAAGGAAUUAUUCGCUCAAUUUGAUACACUUCAACACAGAAUAAUGCAAGUCCCUUGACAAAAACAAGCACAAGCAAACGCUAAACUGAAGCAUUAAGCGCAGAACGGCAUAUGGUCGAACACCCUGCGCGCGUCAGUGCCCGGCGGGGUGGCCGCCGCCGAGAUCCUUGAGCCGCGCCGCAGCCUUCUCCCCGUCUAUUGAGUACUGCAAGGCAGCCAGGAAAACGUUGGUUGCUUAGACGACAACUCGGUCGAGAUCGGUCGGGGUGGUGAAGCAGCGAUACUACGUGGGGAUACCUUGGAGAGGACCCAUGACGAGUGGGUGUAGGCGCGGCGGAGGAGGGCGGCGAGGUCGUCGUCGGCGGAGAGGUCGCGGUAGUUGACGAAGUUCUCGCGGGCGUAUUUGGCGUAGUAGGGCCGCGUCUCCGCCGGCAGCCGCCGCACCAGGCGGAGCACCUCGCGGUACGCGCGCAGCCCCGCGUUCAUCGGCAUCGCCGCAGGUCGUCGAGGCGAGCUGCUGACUGCUCAGGAGAGAGUGGUUUGGAAGGGGCACUGCUACUACUUUUCCAAGGCCGGCCUAGUCUACCCAAUUUCGCGGCCCGGCCCAUUUGGCGCCGGCCCUUUCUUCCGUCUCCGAAGAAAGCAAUCCAACUCCACGGAAAAAGCGCGCGAAAAUGCAAACACCCAUUGCUCUACAUGGUCGCUGCUCUCUGCCACUGCAAUUGGCCCAGGACGCGGGCAGUUCGUCCUCUAUCUCUAUGACUCCAGGCCCGGAACAUGGGCGACGCACGCCGUCUCCGUGGAGGACCGGCAGUUUCAGAAGUAUCAGCAGGAGGAGGGCUACUUCCUGCACAACAACAGCAAGGUGAUCGCUAUCGGAGGAGAAGGCGGGACCAUGGGCUUCGUCGACCUCCAUCGCGGCAUCCUGCUCUGCGAUCUGCUUCAAGCCAAAGACGGCCAUAGGUUUGGCUACAUCCGGCUUCCACGGCCACUCCGGUCAGACGCAAAGCUCCAGGGCGAUGCACGGCUUGCUCGGGACAUUGCCGUCGUCGGAGAUCGCAUCAAGUACGUCCAGCAGCAGCUUCACUGGAAGCCUUGCCCAACCUACGUGAAUCACUACAUCCCAGAUGGCUUGCUGGCUGCCACAUGGAGCAGGCUGGCCCAGUGGAGGAUCCUUGGGAGAGCCACCACAAGAUCCAGUCAUCCGAGAUGGACAUCAGCAACCCGCAGUUCGAGCUCCUCCCGAAGCAGCGUGACGACGAAGGCAGGCCAGUGCCACCCUUCAAGAGGCUCAGCAUAUGCCAGCCCACACUCAGCUUGAAGGAGGGUGAUGAUGCUACUGUUUGCUUCAUGGUCGAGAUGGACAUACUGGACGAGGAGGCCUGGGUGAUCGCUGUAGACAUGAAGAAUAACAGAUUACAAGGAGUUGUUGAGUUUGACGCAACGAGAACCGCCUGUCUGGGUUUCGCCUAUAUGCACAGCGGGGUAUCCAGAUAUCUGGACAGGAUUUCAGAUAAUUCUGUCGGUGUGAAUCCCUAAUUUAAUUGUGCGAACAAAUGUACAGAUCUGCAGGAAACAAAUGCAUACACAUAAGCACGUCUCUAGCUACUACCAGAAUAUAAGUUGUACAUUCGUAUUGCUUUUUUUUUAGGUGAUUGUAUAUUUGUAUUGCUGAUUGAUACAUUGGAUGAUUGCCACAAUGUAGUUGGAAGGGGGGAAAUUAACCAUCAUUUAUACAUAAGAGAGACUUAUCUCAUCAGUUAGCUCAAGCACAUGAAAAGCAACCAAUUUUCCCAAACUCAUUUGAUAUUGCUAGAGAAUACGAAAGUAUAUUGCAGCUACAGUCCUAGGUGAGGACAUCAUUGAUACUAGAGCAAUCUGGUCAGCAAAUAAAGACUUAGGGGUUGGGUAUGGACACAAGCAAACCAUGAUGUGAAAGGAUAUAUGCUUGAUGCCCAGUUAGAUCCCAUUGGAGCAUGUAGGACUUUUACUGAUGACAUUUAGAACUUUGAACAGCCACCGGAGCAGUUCUCUAAAAUGUGUCUACCAGGCUACAAAACAGGGAACCCUACUUGUUACAAUAUAAUUGCUAGUUGGGGUAGGAGGUGGGGGAGCAAAUGAAUACUGGAUAUUUCUGUACUUUUUGGAUCUAAAGUCUGUGGGUGCUCCCACAAUAAUAAAAUGUUCAGAGUUUUAACUAGAGACUGGCAAUGAAAACAGCAAGGUUGCUUAAACUUUGAAAAAAGAGCAGAUCAUUUGAGUGGUGUGCCCUGCAUUCUAAAACUAGACUAGAACCAUAUCAAGCAGAGUACUCAUAUUAAAACUAGAACCAUAUCAGAUUUAGAUGUUUCGAAUUUAGGUAGAGUCAGAAUAGUCAAGUAUAUAUGGAAUGCACAUUAACUAUCAUUUAAUCAAUGUAUUUGUGAUUUAAUUGUGUCACCAUAAUUUCCAAAAUACUGGGCCGAAUGGGGCUUAAAUUAACAAAACAAUGAUCAUGUAGAUAAGCAACUUAACCUUGAUAUUCAUAUUAGUUUCAUUCGGUAAAUCCAAACAAAUUCCUGGUUGCCAUAGUUUGUAGUUUUCUCAAUUUCUGGUUGACAUGGUCACAUUGUCAGAAUAUUGUGCAAGAAAAUGUGGUGCCCUCUCCAGGGCCAAACAAAUAUUAUGCAUAACUCAAAAUGCCUGGAGGUAAUCACAAGUUCACAACAAUAAGGGACCAGACUUUUCAGUUCGUGAAUCUUACCUGAACCCAUUGUUUUAAUUUGUUGAUCUUACCUGAACCCAUUGUUUCAGGAGUUCUGCACCGCUUGGCUUCAGAUUUCAGAAAGAAAGUAAACAUGGUGAACAAUCUGGCAGUUAGAUAUGUUUACUCUUGCAUAUAGAUUAUCUUCAUCUCAUAGUCAUGUUCUAAUUAGAUAGUAUGACAUGAACAAUGGGUAGCCUUAUCAUUUCAAGGUCCUACACGGCAAUAACUACGGAAACAUCGGAGCGGAGGGGCAUGCUAAACCACUGCACAACAAAAGUUUGUGCCCCUUCUUUUCUUUGCUUUCAUUUCUUCAGUAGUCGGUUCUUCUUAUAUGUUGGACUGUAUCAGGCUGUUUUUGAGGCACAACUGAGGGUCAACGGCCCUGGUAACAGCAAUUUGUUAUAGCACAUAUGAGAGUUCAAAUGCGGAUAUGAACUUGUGUCAUCUGAUUAAAUGCGAUGCCUCACACAGAGUGCCUAUGGACUAAGGCCACAUACAGAUUCCAUUAGGCCAUAGGUACGGCACUGUCCCAAAAUAGAGAUAGUAAAAUUUCUUAGGAUGAGAGCUCAAUGCAAUUUCACAGUUUUCAAACUCAACUGGUCAGCUUGGUGUCUCAGGAACUCAACUGGAGACCGACUGAAUUCAGUCUGGAGCUCUACGUAGCAGAAAAUCAUCAUGUAUGAUAGUGCUGUGAGGAACAACACGAUCAUGUUUUGGUCCGUGGAUUCCCCUUGUCCAGAGCCAUUGAUGACCCAAAGCAAUGAAUCAUACAUCCUAGCAUCUUAUUCAGAAGAAGUGUGUAGAUCUACAGAAGACAUGUAAGGGGAAAGGGGGAAAUGUUUUGAUUCCGAGGAAGCACGAGCUCGUACAGCGAUCUGAGAUGGCGGCCGUCCUCUCCUCUCCUCUCCUCUCUAGGAGGACUGCGUCUUCGACGUGGUGUUGGGGCCGGGGGAGCAGGAUGACCGGAAGGCGUCGAUGUGCGCCUGGCACUUGACGCGGUCGCCCUUGUUCUCCUCCAGGCACCUCCGCAGCGCCUCCACGUCGCACGCCGGCGCCCUAGGCUGCUUUGUCUCGUCUCUCCCUCUACCGCCGGCCACCGAAGCAGAUGGCGCCGCCGCCGCUUCCAUGGUGGGACACUGGGUCUCCCUCGCCGUCUCCAGAUCGAGUCUGGGCAAGGGAGUCUGCUAGGG